rnacentral:sRNA from 1 species
CCGGGUGCUGACGCACCCGGCUAAGCAGUGUCGCUCCUUCGGAGCU